UCCUGGAAUAUAAACGAUUUCGAAAUUAAAGAUACACCUGUUAAACAAAAUAGCGUCGUUUAUUCUCCUUACAAAGUAGAUGUUUCAAAAGAAUAACCUACGAUUAAUAUGAAUAUUUGAGAAGUUUUAUUGAUUUCAUAUUUCGCGAAUGUGCUGAAACGAUAAGAAAGAAGGCUGGAAUUCUCAGGGUAUUAAUUACGUUCAAUUAAGCCCGAGGAUUCAUUACUUUGUUGCAUUCACACGACAGAUUCUAAUUACGCGAAACUUUUCCCAAUUUAAUUGCUCGAGCAGGAGCUGGCCUCUUCUUUAAACACCUUGUAAUUAUAUACCGAAAAUAAAAUCUAAAAAUCGUUCGUUAAUUAUCGUCAUUCCACUUGAAAGUGUUUUUAGCGACAUGACAGUUACGUAAUUAAUACGAUUAAUUAAAUAUCAAGACGAACGUUUUCUUAAUUACACCUUUGAUACCGUACGACUACGAUCAAAUAUUUUCUCUUUAAUUUCUCUUAUUCGUAUCCUCCGAGAAAAGCAUGAAAUUAGAAUUCCUAAAUUUCAAGUAACUCCACGUUCUUUCUGUGUGUGUUUACUUUUAACGUACUUCAUCAAAGUUAUAAAACUACACUUGUAUCUGACAGCUUUUCAAAUUUGAUUUUCUCGAAACCGAGACUGCAAUUGGGACAAAUUUUCUGCCACGUUCUCCACUCGUUUCAAUUUCACAAGUUUAAAAAAGCAGAAAACAAGAAACGUUUCUGUUGUUAUUUCUUUAUUUAGCUUUUCAGUAUUUAAACUCGCCCCGCUCGACAUUUCUAUAUUCUUUUGAUAACUGCAUUGUCACGUAAGCGUUUAUUAUAUAUUCGAUAAAACGCCUUUAUGAUAUUCAACACUGAAUCAUCAAUAGCGCUUUUUUUUGUUUUUUAGGUUAUCUCCUGCGCUCCUCAAUAUUAUUACUAUUAUUAAUAUUUUCAAUAAAAUAAUAACUAUUUAUUGUACCCGGGCUCAUAACCUAUUGUUAUUUCUGUAUUUAGAGGUAGGAUCACAAUAUCGUGUUAUUAAUUUAUUCUUCGGAUAAAUUUAUCACAUCGUUGUGAGCUGAAUAAACUUUAUUGCACGUUCUUACAUGGACUAGGGAUAAAAAGAAAAGAAUAUCUUAAACCUAUCGAUUAAAUCUAUCGAUUAUAUCUAAAACUAUCUUCUAGUUACUAUUUAUUGUAACUAGCGCAUCUGAAUAUAGAUGGCGAGCGCGAACUCACAUUGUCAUUUUCAACAGUUUCUCAUGCAAUCAACGAAUCUGUGUCACACGAUCGAGCUAUUAUUGGCUUGGCAACAAAGUGAUUGCGGAUUUUGUCAACCUAAUAUUAUCGCGUUACGUUAGACCGACCUUUGAUUGAUAUCGAUACGCUGAAAAUACUCUGUAGCAGGGUAUUUGGAAUAGCAAUAACAAAUGGACACGCUGCUCGAGUUGAUUGAUUUAUUCAUAGGAAAGAAUCGGUUUGCAGAAGCAAGUGUUAAUUUGGAAAACAUCAGCGUGACGUUGACACGCUAUAAAACACUUUAUAGUUGAGGAAGCUCGAAAGUCGUGAGUAACGGUGAAUUGCAAGAGCCGGCUGAGUUUAAUUCACGUCACAGUUUUCACGACUUUAAAUAACCUACCUUGCAGCUUCAAACCUCACAACCUACCGUCUGACGUCGUAAAGGUUAAUCACAGUCGUGGACACUUUUUAAAAUAGAACAAUUCUUUUCAAACCGGACUAAACGACUAACUUCACACACAGGAUCAUAUGACCAGCUUCCUGGAAGCUACGAGGAUCAGUUUGCUGGAUGACGCGUAGAAAACAUUCUGAGAAAAUUGCGAUCGACCGGAAUCGCGAAGAUCGUUCUUUAUUUUAAAAUUUAAGCAACACGUUUUCCACAAUUAUGUCGCGAUUCGCGGAUUACAAAUGGAAUUUGUUUUUGAACUCGACUAAGUAACGCAAACUACUCUUUUAUCAACAGGAGAUUGUUCUAGGUACGAAAAGAAGCCAGAGAAUAACAUUUAUUCGUUUAUGGCCUCAUUUUCGAGAAGAUAAAGUUCGAUGUACGAUACAUUUAAAAAUUUAUUUUUCUCGAAAACAAAGAAUUUUAUAAAAGAAUUUUAUCCUGAAUUUUCGACUUAUUCUCACGCGCGGUUUUACCUCCUGUCGAUUAAUUGCUCCUGUUCGAUCCGCGAUUAGCCAAGUUUCAAGUAUAUUCGUCACAUGUUUAAUUUUCCCGGAAAUUGAAUUUUCUCGUCCUACGAAAAAAUUGUUUUCUCUCUUUCUGACUCAUUUUUACAUCAUCAGUCGCGGCAUAACUCUUGAAAACGCGUUGUUUAAAUUUCCCUUACAGGUUUGAAAAGUUGUAAAGAAAAUUGUCCCUUGCUUUUCUCUUCGCCAUUUCGAUCAAUCGGAAUUUUCUGAAAAUUAUUUUAUCCAGUAAAGCAAUUGUUCUAACUUCUGAAGAACAGCACGUCGUUUGACCCGAUUUCAAGAAACUUUUUUAUUUAUUUUUGUCAUCUUAAAAAAGUGUAAUACAAUAUCUUAAUUCUGUGCCAUGAAAUCUUGUCAAAUUCAACCACCGUGCGCACUGAACAUUUGUUUAAAUUAAAUGCACGUGUUUUCUUUAA